rnacentral:rRNA from 1 species
GAUGAACGCUGGCGGCGUGCCUAAUACAUGCAAGUCGAGCGAACAGACGAGGAACUUUCUUCUCUGACGUUAGCGGCGGACAGGUGAGUAACACGUGGAUAACCUACCUAUAAGACUGGGAUAACUUCGGGAAACCGGAGCUAAUACCGGAUAAUAUAUUGAACCGCAUGGUUCAAUAGUGAAAGACGGUUUUGCUGUUACUUAUAGAUUGAUCCGCGCCGCAUUAGUCAGUUGGUAAGGUAACGGCUUAGCAAAGCAACGAUGAGUAGCAGGCGUGAUAGGAGGGAGGGCGGCCACGCGGGUAAUGAAAGGCCGACAAGACUCCGGGAGGCAGCAGCAGUGGAAAUCUUGCACAAGGGGCGAAAGGCAGGGGGAGAAACCGCGUGAGAGAGGAGGGGGUUUUCGGUGUGUAAAACUCUUUUACUAGGGGAAAAGUAAUGUUGAAAUUAGUUAGAAGGUUUUGACGGUACCGAAUCAGAAGGCAACGGCUAACUACGU